rnacentral:lncRNA from 1 species
GGGAGAGUUGAUAAAUCUUCCCUUCUAGGAUUUCAGAGCACUGACCUGCCUGCCAGGCCCAAGUCUUAAGAUCCAAACCAGGAAUGAGCUGUUACUAUGGAAAGUGUGAUUUUUCUGCAGGAUUAAGAAGCCUUCACACUUUUUCAGUCACAUCAGAAUUGCCACCCCUGGGAGGGAUGAGUCGGAUAAUUUGAACCACAGACAGUUUCGAGAAGCCACACACACUGCCUGCCAGGAGCUGAGCAGAAGCUGGGAGGCCCCGGUGGUAGAAAUGCGUUCCAGUGUCACCGAGCCAGGCAAUCGCUGCGGCCUUUGGGUCUGCUCCCUUCCAAUAGGAGCAGGACUAGCUUUCUUCCAAGGGAUCAGGAGAUCCUCCCAGCCAAUGCAAGGCUGGACCCCUGUGACUCACCCCCUGUGUGUGGCUUCUCAAGCAGAUUUCCCAGGACAACAUGAAAGGCU